CCAAUAGCGUAUAUUAAAGUUGUUGUGGUUAAAAAGCUCGUAGUUGAACCUUGGGCCUGGCUGGCCGGUCCGCCUCACCGCGUGUACUGGUCCGGCCGGGCCUUUCCCUCUGUGGAACCCCAUGCCCUUCACUGGGUGUGGCGGGGAAACAGGACUUUUACUGUGAAAAAAUUAGAGUGCUCCAGGCAGGCCUAUGCUCGAAUACAUUAGCAUGGAAUAAUAGAAUAGGACGUGUGGCUCUAUUUUGUUGGUUUCUAGGACCGCCGUAAUGAUUAAUAGGGACAGUCGGGGGCAUCAGUAUUCAAUUGUCAGAGGUGAAAUUCUUGGAUUUAUUGAAGACUAACUACUGCGAAAGCAUUUGCCAAGGAUGUUUUCAUUAAUCAGGAACGAAAGUUAGGGGAUCGAAGACGAUCAGAUACCGUCGUAGUCUUAACCAUAAACUAUGCCGACUAGGGAUCGGACGGUGUUAUUUUUUGACCCGUUCGGCACCUUACG
rnacentral:rRNA from 1 species